GAAAGUAAACAAGGGCGCAUGGAGGAUGCCUAGGCUCUCGGAGGCGAAGAAGGACGUGAUAAGCUGCGAAAAGUUACGGUAAGGCGCAAAUAGCCCUAGACCCGUAAAUAUCCGAAUGGGGCAACCCGGCCAGCAAUGGCCAUACCGCCAAGCGGUAAGCCAACGCGGGGAACUGAAACAUCUAAGUACCCGCAGGAAAAGAAAAUAACAAUGAUUCCGCCAGUAGUGGCGAGCGAACGCGGAACAGCCCAAACCACCCGUGUUACGGCACGAGUGGGGUAGAAGGAUCCACGCUACGGCAAGAAAUAAGUUAGCAGAAUACGAUGGAAAUCGUAGCCAGAGACGGUGACAGCCCGGUACGCGAAAACGGACAGAAGCCCAGUGGACACCUGAGUAACCCAGGACACGAGAAAUCCGGGGCGAAUCAGCGGGGCCCAUCCCGUAAGGCUAAAUACUCCCGAGAGACCGAUAGCGAACCAGUACUGUGAAGGAAAGGUGAAAAGAACCUCGAACAGAGGAGUGAAACAGACCCUGAAACCAUGCGCCUACAAGCGGUCGGAGCAUGUUAAAAUGUGACGGCGUGCCUUUUGCAUAAUGAACCUACGAGUUACUCUCGCUGGCAAGGUUAAGCGAUUCAGUCGCGCAGCCGAAGCGAAAGCAAGUCCGAACAAGGCGUACAGUCAGCGGGAGUAGACGCGAAACCAAGUGAUCUACCCUUGGUCAGGUUGAAGGUUGGGUAACACCAACUGGAGGACCGCACCGAUAAGCGUUGAAAAGCUUACGGAUGAACUGAGGGUAGGAGUGAAAGGCCAAUCAAACUUGGAGAUAGCUCGUACUCCCCGAAAUGCAUUUAGGUGCAGCCUCGAAGUAAAGUGAUAGAGGUAGAGCGACUGAUAAGAUGCGAGGGCUUCACCGCCUAUCAAGUCUUGACAAACUCCGAAUACUAUCACUUGAUCUUCGGGAGUGAGGGCAUGGGUGCUAAGGUCCAUGUCCGAAAGAGGAACAACUCAGACCACCAGCUAAGGUCCCGAAAUAAGGGCUAAGUUGAAUAAACGAAGUAAAACUGCAAAGACAGCUAGGAUGUUGGCUUGGAAGCAGCCAUUCAUUUAAAGAGUGCGUAACAGCUCACUAGUCGAGGAGUUUUGCAUGGAUAAUAAUCGGGCAUAAGCCCUUUACCGAAGCUGUGGAUGUCGUAAGACAUGGUAGGGGAGCAUUCCGGCGGCGACGAAGGCCGUCCUCGAGGACGACUGGAGCUUUCGGAAAAGCAAAUGUAGGUAUAAGUAACGAUAAAGGGGGCGUGAAACCCCCUCGCCAUAAGACUAAGGAUUCCUGAUCAACGCUAAUCGGAUCAGGGUAAGUCGGGCCCUAAGGCGCAGCCGAACGGCGUAGCCGAUGGAAGAAACGGUAAAGAUUCCGUUACUGGAUAUAGGAGCGAUGUGGAGACGGAGAAGUGACACACCCGCCUGCCGACGGAAGCGCAGGUUAAAGGAAGUAGGUAAACGCCGGGUAGGCAAAUCCGCCUGGCGUGCCGAAGCUGACAGUAUCGAGAGCCCCCGGGCAAUCGAAUAGCGGUGGUAAUCAGGCUCCCAAGAAAAUCCGCUAAGCAUAUUCUAUAUCCACCCGUACCCCAAACGGACACACGUAGUCGGGUAGAAUAUACCAAGGCGCUCGAAAGACUCACGGUUAAGGAACUAGGCAAAUUGACCCUGUAACCUCGGGAAAAAGGGUCCCCAGUAAGAUGGGGCGCAGAGAAUAGGUCCAGGCAACUGUUUAACAAAAACACAGGGCUGUGCAAAAUUUCAAGAUGAAGUAUACAGCCUGACACCUGCCCGGUGCCGGAAGGUUAAGAGGAGAGCUAAUCGCAAGAGAAGGCUUGAAUUGAAGCCCCGGUAAACGGCGGCCGUAACUAUAACGGUCCUAAGGUAGCGAAAUUCCUUGUCGGGUAAGUUCCGACCUGCACGAAUGG
rnacentral:rRNA from 1 species